GGAGAAGACAAAAUAACCCACAGAAAAGAAGUAUGGAAGGCAGGGGUAGCAAGGCGGAGCUGUGACCUGUCACAGCACGCAGAGAAUGCCCAUGGAUUUUCACAAAUGCUGGUAAAAUGUGAAAAGCAGGUGUUUCUUUUUUCUUCAAUCUGAGCUUCAAGCUAAUAUGGGCACUCAACUAAAUCCCUCCCGGGUCCUGAAACAGUAUGCGGUUUUGGAUUUCAAAGGUAAUUAUUGCUGAAUUCAUUGUAUGGCCAGUGCACCUGCCAGGUAGACAUUAUAAAAGAGCCUGCAGGGGGCCACCAAGAGAAUUUGGAGGACAAUUUCUCCAUCACAAAACCCCUUUGAAAGCCUAUUAAGGCAUCAAGUGCCAGGAAUGGAGUUGAACAUAUUCAUAAUACAGUUAACAAUGCAAAUGAAGCAACAGUUCCAGGUCAGAGAAAAUUCCAAUGCUCACCUGAGAAAUUCAGGCUCCAUUGUAUUUUGUCUGUCCUGCAAUUGACUCACAAUAAUCCCUACAUCUUCUGGGAGAGGUGCAAGUAUCAAACAGUUGGAGACACAAGGAAAGGGUGGUAUAAUGCAGAAAGUGACUUGAACAAAUUUACACAGAAGGCAGUGAAGUGUGAUUCAAAUUCAAGCAGUCUAGACUGUGCCCCACACAACUCUGCAGCAUAACCUUGCAGUAUGAAAAUGAUGCCUCUCAUGCAGAUCAGGGAUAUGAGAUCCAGUGACCUACCCAAAGUUUCAAAGGAAAGAUGUAACAGAGCCAUCUCUGAACUUCUGCUCUUGGGGAUCUACAUGCUCUUUCCACUAGUUCUGACAUUAGCAGGUGUUUGACCCA
rnacentral:lncRNA from 1 species